rfam:Peptoniphilus indolicus ATCC 29427 genomic scaffold SCAFFOLD1, whole genome shotgun sequence.
CCAUGAUAGACGGGGAAUUAGCGAUGCCUUGUAACCUGCAAUUCGCUAUAGCAGGGUUGAAUUCCCGUUCAAGGAUUUUUGUUUGUAUAGCCUGCCCCAAGCAAGUGGCGGUGACGAUAGGGUCCCAUACAAUGUAUACUUGUGAAUCGUGUCAGGUCUUGACGGAAGCAGCACUAAGCAAGUUCAUGCGUGUGUUAUGGGGGUGCCUUAUCUGAGUUAACUACUUGGGUACCGUAUGUGAACAAUAAUUCGAAAGCGGGUUCAUGG